rnacentral:misc_RNA from 1 species
GAUGAAGAACGUAGCGAAAUGCGAUAAGUAAUGUGAAUUGCAGAAUUCAGUGAAUCAUCGAAUCUUUGAACGCACCUUGCACCCUUUGGCAUUCCGAAGGGUAUGCUCGUUUGAGUGUCAUUGUACUCUCACACUCUCCGAUCCUAUGGAUUCGGGGAGCGGUGGACUUGGGUGUUGCUGCCUUUCCUUGUGGCUCACCUCAAAUGUGUCAGUGCACCUCUUGGUUGGACAUAGUACGGCGUGAUAAGUGUCUUCGCCGGCACCUCGCAAGAGGGUGGACGAUCGGGAGCUCUGUGCUUUCAAACCGUCUUCGGACAAUUUCUGACAACUUGACCUCAAAUCGAGUAGGACUACCCGCUGAACUUAAGCAUAUCAAUAAGCGGAGGA